rnacentral:lncRNA from 1 species
NNNNNNNNNNNNNNNNNNNNNNNNNNNNNNNNNNNNNNNNNNNNNNNNNNNNNNNNNNNNNNNNNNNNNNNNNNNNNNNNNNNNNNNNNNNNNNNNNNNNNNNNNNNNNNNNNNNNNNNNNNNNNNNNNNNNNNNNNNNNNNNNNNNNNNNNNNNNNNNNNNNNNNNNNNNNNNNNNNNNNNNNNNNNNNNNNNNNNNNNNNNNNNNNNNNNNNNNNNNNNNNNNNNNNNNNNNNNNNNNNNNNNNNNNNNNNNNNNNNNNNNNNNNNNNNNNNNNNNNNNNNNNNNNNNNNNNNNNNNNNNNNNNNNNNNNNNNNNNNNNNNNNNNNNNNNNNNNNNNNNNNNNNNNNNNNNNNNNNNNNNNNNNNNNNNNNNNNNNNNNNNNNNNNNNNNNNNNNNNNNNNNNNNNNNNNNNNNNNNNNNNNNNNNNNNNNNNNNNNNNNNNNNNNNNNNNNAACACGAUUCCAAAUAGAAAAACUUCAAUCAUUUUUUUUUUUGUUUGAAAGUAGAAAAAAAAAAUAGGUAAUAUCGGUACCUAAAUAUUAAUCCGAAUUGACAUGAAUCUCAAUCACAAUGAACAAGAAUUGACAAUGGUAACGUAAGUAAAUAUAGAAUACACGUAAUCCCACAGAAGGAUUUCUUUUUAUGAAUUGUUCAUUUAAAUAUUCAAUUUAAAUAAGUCGUAUCUUGCUCAGACCAAUAAAUAGAGCUGAGGUUAUAGUUAAAGCCGCUAAUAGAAAACCGAAAUAACUAGUUAUAGUAAGCAUGAAGGGGCUAAAUUAAAUGAAAUAUUUUCUUUUAUACAUAUGUUUAAAAAGCACUUACCUAAGUUUCAAAUUUUGCAAAAGAAAAUAGGAGGGUAGACAAAAAUCUCAAUUUCAAUUGAAAGAAUAAGUUGAAUGAAAAGUUUUUGAUUCAGCUAUUAUUAUAGGCAGACAGCACUAACAAAGAUAAAGUGCCAGACAUAUAAAGAAAUUGAUUCAUCAUCUGUAACAUCUAUCCAUCCCGCAAUUCCAAUCAACCGAUUCAUUGAGUAACUCUUGGGUAAACUAUUAAACUAAUAAGAGCUGUAUCGUCUAACUUCAUUAAAAAAUGAAACUUGCAUUUUUAUAGAAUCAAAAUAGAAAUAUAGAAAUGAUUUUCUAAUUUGAUCAUUUCUUAGAUUCUGGUGAAUUGUAUCGAAUCCAUUUUCGAUUUUAAAGCGAACAGUUACCUUAUAAAACUUUUUCUUUUGACUUUAAUUUAAGUUUAACUCAUUAGAUUCAGUAAUAUAUUAAUUUACAUAAUAUCUUGAAUGAGGGAGAAGAAAAAGUUAUCACACAACCACUUUAAAAACUCUUUUUUUUGUCCAACUAGAUUCUAAAACUAGUAAUUUCUAUUUCUUUAAAAAAAGAUUCCAACAACAAAACGGCUUCCACAACUCCGAAAAGAGAAUUUCUAUAUCUCGCAUCUACUUAAAUUGUGGGAAUAUGAGAAUCUUUUUCAUUGAAUUGAAAGAAUUUUCUAUUGAAUGGAAGAUGAUUUUACAUCAACAAGUAAAGGAAAAAAGAAAUUAUUUAGUACUUACUUUUGAUACUAAUUCAAAUUGCGUUGCUGUGUCAGAAGAAGGAUAGCUAUACUGAUUCGGUAUACUCUAAAGACGCCCUCGGUACAAUAUUGACGAUCUCACAAAGAUUAAAUUUCAGUUAAUUGUCAUUUACUGAUCUCAUCUUUUACGGAAUCGAUCUUCUUUGACUGUACAAGAAUAUGUGGAGCUCAGCAUGUCUGGAAGCACAGGAGAACGUUCGUUUGCUGAUAUUAUUACCAGUAUUCGAUACUGGGUCAUUCAUAGCAUUACUAUACCUUCCCUAUUCAUUGCGGGUUGGUUAUUUGUCAGCACAGGUUUAGCUUACGAUGUGUUUGGAAGCCCGCGGCCAAACGAGUAUUUUACAGAGAGCCGACAAGGAAUUCCAUUAAUAACUGGCCGUUUUGAUCCUUUGGAACAACUCGAUGAAUUUAGUAGAUCGUUUUAGGAGGCCCUAAUGACUAUAGAUCGAACCUAUCCAAUUUUUACAGUACGAUGGUUGGCUGUUCACGGCCUAGCUGUACCUACCGUCUUUUUUUUGGGAUCAAUAUCAGCAAUGCAGUUCAUCCAACGAUAAACUUAAUCCGAAUUAUAGAGCUACGACACAAUCAAACCCGAACGAACAAAAUGUUGAAUUGAAUCGUACCAGUCUCUACUGGGGGUUAUUACUCAUUUUUGUACUUGCUGUUUUAUUUUCCAAUUAUUUCUUCAAUUAAGAAAACGAAAGAGAAUAAAUAAGAUUCUCUUAGCUCAUUCGGAAGGAUCUCAUAAUUUAAUUAUCCAUGACUGUUUAUGUCUCUAGCAUGACCACUUGAUGAAAUCUGGAGGGAAGUGGGGUAAAUGGCCGAUACUACUGGAAGGAUUCCUCUUUGGAUAAUAGGUACUGUAGCUGGUAUUCUUGUAAUCGGUUUAAUAGGUAUUUUCUUUUAUGGUUCAUAUUCCGGAUUGGGUUCAUCCCUGUAGUAAUCGACUGAAUUGAGUUGUCAACAUGAAAGCGUAAGAACUUAACGGGAUUCCCUUCUUUGUUUGUUUGAUUCGAAGGGGAAGGGCCCGUUGAGUUCUUAAGAAUCAUAAUAUUUUUUUCGUCUAAAUGCUAAAACGGAUUUCUUUUUCUUUUCAAAAACUCCGUUUUUCUCAUUUUUCUGAGCAUGUUUUUGAAAAAUUCACUUCAUUGAGUUAGUCAGACCACCUCUUCUUUUUAUAUGAUAGUAUCUAUCGGUACUUUCAAAGUUGGAAGAAAGAAGGAAGAACUCAAUUUCUUGGCUGCUAUCAUAUAUUAGAUAGCGUGCAAAUCCUUUCUAUACUAAUCUAAUGUAGAACCUUACUCUCUAUAUUACAUUACUCUAUUGAUUUUUUAUUGUUUUCCUAUUUCAUCAUCAAAUUUUUAUAAGAUAAGUUGAUUGAAGAAGUUUUAUUUAAUUAAUAAAAUUUCCUCUCUUUUUUGUUUUGUUUGUCCACCAAUUCAUAUAUUAUAUGUAAGGGGGUAGGUGUAGGGUUUCUGAUACAUCUGGAAAAAUUGAAACCAAGACUAGGAAUUUUUAACAAACAGGAUCAAGAAUCAUUACUCUUUCGUUUCGACACAAGAAAAAAGGAUUUUUCUACACCCCUUUCUUGUGUCGAAGACUAGGAAGACAAAUAAUCCCUCCUAGAAUUUUUUCUUCCCCGCAUUUAUCCCCCGCUUCCUUAUGUCUAGUAUUUAGACAAAUUUGACUUUCUUUCUAUUUAGAAUAGAAAACUAUUGAUACGUUUUAUGGCAGUGAAAUCUGGCAAUAGUAACAUAGUUACACUACUCCAAUUAAAAAAAAACUAAAUCAAAAUAAAUGAAAGCCAAAUACUCUUCUUCAAAAUCUACAUACUAUGUGGUACAAGGGAUUCCCAGCAUCUCGUAGAAAAAGAGUAUGUAAUGUAGAUUUUGAAGAAGAGUAUAAAUAAGACAAAGGAGUUUUCAUAAUUUCAUUUUUUUGAUCAUAAAUAAUCGCCAACAAGAAUUUGGUUCUUUUUACGUACUUGAUAUCGAUAAAUCUGCGAAUCUAGAAAUUCAUUUCGGCCAAUUGAACCUUCUCGAACUGUUUCUUUUUAAGAACCAAAAAGAUUUGUGCCAAAAUAACAGAUGCCAAGAAGAACAAAAGUCCUUGGACACGUAAUGGAUCUUGAAGUACUAUUUCUGCAUCUCCCUGACCAAAUCCGCCUACAUUAGGAUUACUCGUUAAUGGUUGAUCAAAUUUGAUAGAUUCGCCCUCGGAAACAAGAAGUUCUGGUCCGGGAGGGAUAAUAUCAACCACUUGACGUCCCUCCGACGCAUCCGUUAUGGUUAUCUCAUACCCCCCUUUUUCUUUUCGUAUGAUUUUGCUUACUAUACCUGCUGCUGUAGCAUUAUAAACUGUAUUGUUACUCUUGUUGCCGUCGGGAUAAAUCUGACCCCUUCCCCUGUUCCCGCCUACGUAUAUAGGAUAUUUUAAGAAGUGAACAUCCUUCUUAGUAGCAGGGUCCGGGGAAAGAAUAGGGAAGGUUAUUUCACUAUAUUUUUUACCAGGGACAGGGCCUACCACAAGAAUAUUUGUUUUAUUGGGGCGAUAGCUCUGAAAAGACAAAUUGCCAAUCUUUUCUUUCAUCUCAGGAGAAAUACGAUCGGGAGGAGCUAAUUCAAACCCCUCCGGUAAAAUAAGAACAGCUCCGACGUUCAACCCCCCUUUUUUACCAUUAGCAAGAACCUGUUUCAGUUGCAUAUCAUAAGGAAUUCGAACAACUGCUUCAAAUACAGUAUCAGGAAGUACCGCUUGUGGAACCUCAAUUUCCACGGGCUUAUUAGCUAAAUGGCAAUUGGCACAUACAAUACGCCCAGUCGCUUCUCGUGGAUUUUCAUAACCCUGCUGUGCAAAAAUGGGAUAUGCACUUGAAAUGGACGUCCGAGUUAAGAUAUAUAUCAUGAGCGAUACGGAAAUAGAUCGAGUAAUCUGUUUCUUUAGCCAAGAAAAAGCAUUUCUAGUUUGCAUGGUCCAAUCAUUGAUCGCGAAAAUUUCUACAAUAAAUUGGGUAGGUCGCUAGUAUAGUUCCCUAGCCACGAUUCUGCUAUUUGCUGGAAUAAUCUAGGAUGAAUCUUCCCGAUGGUUAGAAAUAGGAAGAGUAAAUAUGAUUUUCAAUACUUUGCUUAUGUACAACUACAAAGUACUAAGCAUUCUAAUUGGAUUAGAUUAAUAUCAAUGGAUCCUUUAUCAUUCAGUUAUUGAAUCAUAAAGCAGUAAAAUUGACGGAGACAGACUAGUUAAAUAACGGAAAAGCCAAUAUUUAAAACAUGUAUCAAAAAUUACUGGAAGGAUGCAAACAAGAAUAGUUAUAGUUUGCUCAUUCGCAACAACUCCAACCUCGUUAUAGAUAGAGCGUAUAACGAAUUCCCAACCUGGGGGUGAAUGAUAUCCGAGAAAAAACUCACUUACUAGAAGAAUACACAAAGCUUUUGCUGUGUCACUUAAGUUAUAUAGGAAUUCCUGAGCCCAAGAGUUAAGAAUAACAAGUUUUUCCUUACCCAAAAUUGAAUACCCGCUUAGAAUACCAAACCAGAUUAUAUUUGUUGAGAAGUGCAAAAUCGUAUCCAUACGAUUCUCAUUUUGUAUCGUGAUUAAUUGGAUCGUUUCUUUAUGGAUUCCUAUCCCAAACUCUUCGAGAUGUGUUUCCGAGUAUUCCUUGAUCAUUUCGUCCAAGAAGAGGAGUUCCUCUAAUUCUCUGAAUUUUUCUAGAAGACUCUUUUCUUGAAUAUUAUUCAAGACAAUUUGGGAUUGCCCAGUAUUCCACCAAUUAGUAACCCAAGAUUCCAGCCAUUUAUUAACUGAGAAAGAAAUCCACCAGGGCAAAAAUACUAUAGAUGCAAGAUAGAAAAGAGGAGUGAAUGCUUUCUUUUUUGCCAUUUUUUCGUCUGUAAAUUGUUAAUCAACCCAUUCGUACACUCUAUGCGAUCGAAUAUUUCUUACACACAUGAGUUUUAUACAAGGUAUCGAACUUAUGAAUCUAUUUUCUUUGUGAUUUUGUGGUUAGUCUUUGAAUCUAGAAAGAAUACAGAAAUAGGCUAAGAAUUCACUUCGAAUGAAGAAAUUGAGAAUAUUGUUUCCUGAUAUCUCAAUUGGUCAAAUUAAAAAUUAAGUGUAUCCUUUCGAUGAAUGACCGAAAGAACCACUUUAAGUAAUGAAUAUUAUUCAGAUUUUGAGACGAAAGAACUCCUUUGCUAUCAAAAUAUCCAAUAUUUCGAAAAAAUUUCAUUGAUUACCCAUAGUCAGGAAUAGAAUAAUUGAGGGAAAGAUAUUAGGAUGAUAAAAAAAAAAUGACUAGCAAAGGAUAAAUUGGCUAGUUCUCAGUAUUUAAUUAAGAAAUCCAAUUGUUGGUCAUUAAAGAAUACAAAAGAAAGAAUUUCAAAUUUACAAGAUACGAUCUAUCUGGAUCUAAAGUGUCAAUUCCAACAAAUAUUGAACUAAAAAAAAUUCUUGCUUUCGAAAUGGUUUGCCGUCUGAGAUGAAUCUAUUAUUUCGAUUUGUUAUUUGUUAUUGAAUUGCGUGCACAUAAAGACCAUAAAAAGAGUUUCGUUUUAUGGUUCUUUCAUAUACGUUUUCUUUAAUUGAAUGAACGUUCUGAUUCUCAAUUUAUCAAAAUACUUCAAUUGGUACACGCAAGAAAUAGGCUAAUUCAGCAGCCUUUUGUUCAAUUUCUCGUGGAGUCAAAUUCUCAUCAGUACGGGUCAAGGGAAUGGACCCCUGGCCUCGGAUGUCCAUAUAAAGAACACGACGAGCAUAAAUACCCUCUUUAACUUCUAUUCUAACGGACUGAAUAUCUUUUAUAAGGAAUCGGAGGAAUAUGCGACGAUUUUUUCCCGGAAAUCCCCAACGAAAGAUACAGACUAUUCCCUCCUUUCUAUCGAAUCGAUCAUAACCACUACCUACAUUCCAGGAAAUUGUGCACCACAAAUAAGAGCUAAUAAAGAGACCCGCAAUUCCGUAGAAAGACAUCACGAUUCCUUGUGGAAAAAAAAUGAUUUGCUGAGGCGGAAAAAAAGAUAGCAAAUUUCUACCAAGAUAACUGGAAGUUCCAACUAAUAAGAAGCCUAAUGAACCUAAAAAAAGGAUCAAGGCCCAGCAGAAAUUACUUAUUUUUCGAGACCCCGUUAUAAGUUCUAUCCAUAUAUCGUCUGAUCGCCAAGUCAUACUUUACUCGAUUGCAUUUUAUUGGAAUUGAGAUAAUACCCCAGAAAAAUUUGACUUUACUUUUUUGUUUCCGAAGUAACUCUCAUCAACUAGCACUAGUUUGAGGUGAACUAGCACUAGUUUGAUGUCAACCUUUAGGAGUAAUUCAUCAAAUUGGUUAAAUCUAAAAUAAUAACAUACUCUUUAUUUAAUACGAUCCCACUAUACAUAUCGAUAUACAUAUAGAUUCACCGACUACAUUUCAGCCAUCCAGAGAUCCUGAUCUAUUUGAAAAUUGCUAGAAUUGAUAUAUCCAUAUAUCAUGUUUCUGCGGGCAUAAGAGUUUUUUCCUUUAUGUUCGGUGGAAAUCACAUGUUAUACUAUACUCCAAUAAAUAGAUAUCCGUGUUAUGAUACAAGUCCACGUUUUCAAAAAAAAAAAUGGAUGAGAUUGGGUCCCAGCGGAUCUAAACAAUCUUGUUUUUUUGAACAUGAAGAAAUAAAGAAGCCAUUGCAAUUGCCGGAAAGACUAGGCCUACUAACGGCACAAAAAUAGAUGGAAGGUUCAAAUUUGUCAUAGAAGGGGUACCUCGAUUUACUAUUUGUAUCUGUUAUUAUGUUAUUAUAUAAAUAAAGAUAUCUUGUAAUAAUUAUAAUUAAAUUAAGAAUUUGAAUUCUAAUUAGAUAUUAGAUAAUAUUUAUUAUUAAUAGAAUUUGAAGAAUUUGAAAUUCUUAGUAUAGAUCGAAGUAUCGAUAUAUCUAAAUCUAACUGAGUACGUAUAAUAAGAAUAAGUGCAAAGAAUGUAGAACUGUAGAACUAAAUAAAUGGACUUAUUCAUCUCCUCCAUGAGAAAGAUAUGUAUGAUAAUAAACUUUAUUAUUUUUCUUCAUUUCUUUGUCUUUUGUUCUUGUCUUCUACUUUUCUAAAAAUAGAUAAAGAGUUUUUUACAGAUUAUCGACGGAUUCAUUCGAAUCCGACCCAACAUGGAUUUUUAGCUAAAAUGGUUUUUCGGUAGAUAGAGAAAGAUACAAAACUCUAUUAUCUCUAUUGAAAUUUCAAAUUAUAUACCUAAGACAAGACCAAAUUCGUUUUAUUUUACUAAUUUCACGAAAGGAAGAACUCACUCUUGGUGAUAAAGGUUUCUUGAUUCGUAAUCAGGAAUAUAGGUCAAAAAAAGAGUUAUCCUCAACUUUCGUUUUAAUUCUUUCUACAAUUCGAUCUUCUAUCACCAAAGAAAAGGCCAUUAUUAUCUUAUUUACUUUGAUUCCGAUAAACUAACUACUUUUUGCUACAAACACAAAAAAAAUAAUUGAACUUAGUGCUCUACUUGAUUUUGCUUGACUUUUGAUUCAAAGGAAAAAAGGCGUGGAGCUUAAAUAACUCACUCAGAACGCUUUUUAAAAGAUUACGUGGUACAAUUAGGUCGAAUAAACCCUUCUGGAAUAAGUAUUCAGCUGCUUGUGAACCUUCGGGUACUGUUUUAUUCAAUGUUUGUUCAAUUACUCUUUUACCUGCAAAUGCAAUGUAGGCAUUGGGUUCGGCAAUAAUGAUAUCCCCCAACAUACCAAAACUAGCUGUCACUCCACCAGUUGUCGGAGAUGUAAGGAUUGAUACAUAAAAUAAUUUUUUAUUUAAUUGAUAAUCAUAUAAAGCAGACGAUAUUUUAGCCAUUUGCAUCAAGCUCAAACUUCCUUCCUGCAUGCGCGCCCCCCCAGAAGCACACACUAUCAUAAGAGGUAAAUUUUGAUUGGCAGCGUGUUCAAUCAAACGGGUGAUUUUCUCUCCGACUACGGAUCCCAUACUACCCCCCAUAAACUGAAAAUCCAUAACCCCAAUUGCUACGGGAAUGCCGUUUAGUUGGCCUAUGCCUGUUUGAACAGCCUCGGUUAAUCCUGUCUUUCUUUGAUAAGAAUCAAUACGGUCCUUAUAAGGCUCCUCCUCCGAAUGAAAUUCAAUGGGAUCCAGCGAGACCAUGUCUUCAUCCAUAGGAUCCCAAGUACCCGGAUCGAUCAAAAGUUCAAUUCUAUCCGAACUACUCAUUUUCAAAUGAUAUCCACAUUGUUCACAAAUAUUCAUUUUUGAUUUCAAAAAUUUCUUAUAAUUUAAUCCAUAACAAUUUUCGCAUUGAACCCACAAAUGCUUGUAUUUUUGAGUUACCUCGAGAUCAUUAGAACUUUCUCUUAUAGUUAAAUCACUGUCCUUUGUGCGAGUUCGUCUACUGGAACCCUCGUUUUCACUACUAUUUAGACUUUGACCACUACAAAUGGCCCUAUAAAUGUAACUGUCACCGUUACUCUCACUACCACUUAUAAUGGAAGUAUCUAUACAGAUUUGAGACUGAAGAUAAUUAUCAAUGCAACUAUUAAUGUGAUUAUUCCAACUAUAUUGAGUAUCAUACAUGUAAGAAUUAUAGUAGGGAUCUUCGCCCCUAAAUCCAUUAUUCAGAUAACUCGAGUUUCGAUAACUAUAAAAAGAACUUUCUAGUUCACUCAGAAAAGAAUGAUCGUUGUCAACCUCAAAAAUAUGAUUUUCAAUAUCAAAAUAGAUGGAAUAACUGUCCCCAUUCCUAUCACUAACUAAAAAAGUGUCAUUAGAGAUGAAAUUCCAAAUGUCUUUAACGCCGAAUAAAUAAUCAACAUUACUGCAACUAUGAAUGUUUUUCACUUUUAGAUUUGGAUCUUCACUGGUAUUUUCAAUAGGACCAAGACUGCCCAUUGAUUUAUUUAGCCCACACCUGCGUUCGAACUCCUUCUUAAACAACAUCGAAUUAAACCACCAUCUUUCCAUAGAGUUUUCUUGCCCCCUAUUUGCAUGAAAAUACAAUAGAUGAAUAGUCAUUCGCUAUAAAAUUCUUUAUUUGAAUAUCUUAUUUCCUAUCAGACUAAGCAUAGAAAUCCAAUCACUAGGAUUAUUAACUAAUACGGAUUGUGAGUAUUCAAAAAAAGUUCUGAAUCUGGGGGAACACUUCACUAUAUAUUAAUAUGUUGGAACCCCCUUUUAUUAUUAAAAAGAAUAUAAAAAUAAUAGAAUUUUUGAUAAAGGGCGGCUUCUCCUAUGUCGUGUCAAAUUCGCAUCGAAAAAAAGAGAUUUGUCCUCUCUUAUAAAUAUAAAGAAAUAAAAAAAAUUCGUAAAAUCUCGUCUAAUACUAAUAUCUAAUCACUAACUAAUCUAACAAUCUAAAAUCUAAUAAUAAGUAAUAAAUUAAGGUUCUAUUUCAACACGGAACAAAGGGGACAAUAUACAGGAUGGGUAGAAAGAGUUGGAAUACUUGGCUUGAUUCAGGGAAACUACAAACUACAGGAUAGAAAAGAAUAUACCAAUCCUAAGGAUCCGUAGGAUUAAUUGUGGAUCCAAGACAAUAAUAGAAAGAUUUGAGUCUUAGAUUUUGAUUUAGUUUUCUAGAUUUUGUAUUUCAAAUCUUGAUCAAAAUAUAUGCAAUAGAAUCUUAGUUGUAUUCGGCCCAAUCUUUUACUAAAAGGAUUGAGCCGAAUUAAAUUGUAAUGUAAUUCAAUUAAGAGAACGAAGGAUAAUUACUUGAGUUCUUUCUCCUUAUCCUUCUUUAUUUCCUGCUAAUUUAUCUGCUAAUGUCUACUGUUUUUACUUAUCCAAAACGUCCACUGCUGCAAAAUUAAAUACGAUCUCUUUCCAUACCUCACAAGCAGCAGCUAGUUCCGGGCUCCAUUUGCAAGCCUCGCGAAUAAUCUCAUUACCUUCCCGAGCAAGAUCACGUCCUUCAUUACGAGCUUUUACACAUGCUUCUAGAGCUACUCGAUUAGCUACGGCACCUGGCGCAUUACCCCAAGGAUGUCCUAAAGUUCCUCCACCGAACUGUAGUACGGAAUCAUCCCCAAAGAUCUCGGUCAGAGCAGGCAUAUGCCAAACGUGAAUACCUCCUGAAGCCACAGGUAGAACACCUGGUAAAGAGACCCAAUCUUGAGUGAAAUAAAUACCGCGACUUCUAUCUUGUUCAACAAAAUCAUCACGCAGUAAAUCAACAAAGCCCAAAGUUAUGUCUCUUUCACCUUCAAGUUUACCUACUACGGUACCAGAGUGAAUAUGAUCUCCACCAGACAUACGUAACGCUUUUGCUAAUACCCGGAAGUGGAUACCAUGAUUCUUCUGUCUAUCAAUAACCGCAUGCAUUGCACGGUGGAUGUGAAGAAGUAGACCAUUAUCUCGGCAAUAAUGAGCCAAGGUAGUAUUUGCGGUAAAUCCCCCCGUUAAGUAGUCAUGCAUUACGAUCGGAACGCCCAAUUCUCUAGCAAAUACAGCUCUUUUGAUCAUUUCUUCGCAUGUACCUGCAGUAGCAUUCAAGUAAUGCCCUUUGAUUUCACCUGUUUCAGUCUGUGCUUUAAAAAGUGCUUCGGCACAAAAUAAGAAACGAUCUCUCCAACGCAUAAAUGGUUGUGAGUUCACGUUCUCAUCAUCUUUGGUAAAAUCAAGUCCACCGCGAAGACAUUCAUAAACAGCUCUACCGUAGUUUUUUGCAGAUAACCCCAAUUUAGGUUUAAUAGUACAUCCCAACAGGGGACGACCAUACUUGUUCAAUUUAUCUCUUUCAACUUGGAUCCCAUGAGGCGGACCUUGGAAAGUUUUAACAUAAGCAGGAGGGAUUCGCAGAUCUUCCAGACGUAGAGCGCGCAGGGCUUUGAACCCAAAUACGUUACCUACAAUGGAAGUAAACAUAUUGGUAACGGAACCUUCUUCAAAAAGGUCUAAAGGGUAAGCUACAUAAGCAAUAUAUUGAUCUUUUUCUCCAACAACGCGCUCGAUGCGGUAGCAUCGCCCUUUGUAACGAUCAAGACUGGUAAGUCCAUCGGUCCAUACAGUUGUCCAUGUACCAGUAGAAGAUUCGGCAGCUACCGCGGCCCCUGCUUCUUCAGGUGGAACUCCAGGUUGAGGAGUUACUCGGAAUGCUGCUAAUAUAUCAGUAUCCUUGGUUUGGUACUCAGGAGUAUAAUAAGUCAAUUUGUACUCUUUAACACCAGCUUUGAAUCCAACACUUGCUUUAGUCUCUGUUUGUGGUGACAUAAAUCCCUCCCUAGAACUCAUGAAUUAAAAAUUAUCACAACAACAAGGUCUACUCGACAUGAAUUCCGCGUUAAUGAAACUUUUCACAGGAAUCUGUCACAAAAUUUCCAACUAAUACUAAUAUUAUCAAUUAAUCAGAAUGGUUGAUUAUUAGACCAUGGUAUUUGAUUUGCCAAAUACAUCAUUAUUGUAUACUCUUUCAUAUAUAUAGCGCAACCCAAUUUUGAUUUUUUAUCUUUUUUUUUUUGAAAUGGAAAUACCUAGCUAACCUAAAUAAUAAGAACUUCCCCCUUGACAGUGGUAUAUGUUGUAUAUGUAAAUCCUAGAUGUGAAAAUAUAUGGAAUUCCUCUAUGAAUCUAUGAAAGGUAUAAAAAAGAAAGAAAAACGCAAAGAAAAGAAUAGGCUAGGCAUAAAUCGAUAUGCUGAAAUUGAAAUAAAAAAGAAAUAAGAAGAGGAGCCCAUUAGAUACAAAUAAUGAAUCGUAAUAGAAAUAGAAAAUAAAGUUCAGGUUCGAAUUCCAUAGAAUCGAUAAUAUGGAUGGGCUUGUCUAUAAUGGUAGACAAAUGAAAGACUUUCUCAAGAUUUUGAUUCAUCCACUUGAGAUUGUUAAAUGAAAAUAGGUUGGGUGAGCUGCCAAAUUAACUCAGUCUCAUUGAAUAAGUAAACAAUUGGAUUGGUUCAAUUGCAUGGUGCCAACGAAAUCGAGUGCUAAUUCCGAUUUUAUUGAAUUAACCGAUCGA